GAAGCAGGCUUCCCGCCGGGCAGGGAGCCCGAUGCGGGGCUCGAUCCCAGGACCCUGAGACCAUGACCUGAGCCGAAGGCAGACACUUAACGACUGAGCCACCCAGGCGCCCUAAACUUAUACCUCCUUUAACUGGUAUUAUCUGAAAGUAACGGAAGGGAAAAGGAAUUUAUUUAUAAACACUCAGCAGCAGCUCAAGGCAUAUUUUAUCAUUUGACAGAGAGAGAGAGAAAGCACAAGCAGGGGGAGUGGCAGAGGGAGAGCCCGACCCCAGGACUGGAAUCAUGACCCAAGCAGAAGGCAGAUGCUUAACCGACUGAGCCACCCAGGCACUCCUUGGUAUUACCUUUCU